rnacentral:rRNA from 1 species
UCCAGACUCCUACGGGAGGCAGCAGUGGGGAAUAUUGGACAAUGGGGGGAACCCUGAUCCAGCGACGCCGCGUGAGUGAAGAAGUAUUUCGGUAUGUAAAGCCCUAUCAGCAGGGAAGAAGAAAUGACGGUACCUGAGUAAGAAGCACCGGCUAAAUACGUGCCAGCAGCCGCGGUAAUACGUAUGGUGCAAGCGUUAUCCGGAUUUACUGGGUGUAAAGGGAGCGUAGACGGCGAUGCAAGCCAGAUGUGAAAGCCCGGGGCUCAACCCCGGGACUGCAUUUGGAACUGUAUAGCUAGAGUGUCGGAGAGGCAGGCGGAAUUCCUAGUGUAGCGGUGAAAUGCGUAGAUAUUAGGAGGAACACCAGUGGCGAAGGCGGCCUGCUGGACGAUGACUGACGUUGAGGCUCGAAAGUGUGGGGAGCAAACAGGAUUAGAUCCCCCCGUA